AGACUUCUGCAUCUUUAGGAUAUNCUAGUCCAACAUCGAGGUCACAACCCCCCCUUUCGAUUAGGUCUCUCAAGAGAGAUUAUGCUGUUAUCCCUGCGGUAACUAAUUUCUUUAAUCAAACUAAUUGGAUCUAAACUUGUAAGUUUUUUAUAUUUAAGAAGCUUUUUUUGUUCCUUAGUCGCCCCAACUAAAAAGCUCAAUAGAUUAUUUAUUUAAAAUCUAUAUAAACUUCUACGGUUCUUUAAGCUCGACAGGG
rnacentral:rRNA from 1 species